AACAGAAAUUUAUUAUCUCAUAGAUCUGGAGACUAGAAGUUCUAGAUCACGUUGUUAGAGUUGGUUUCUUCGACAACUGUGAGAAACCUUAUGUUCCAUGCCUCUCCCCUGGCUUCUGGUGGUUUGCUGGUCAUCUUUGGCAUACUUUGGCUUGUAGGUGCAUCACCUGGAUCUCUGCCUUCAUGUUCACAUGGUGUUCUACCUGUGUGCGUAUCUGUGGCCAAAUUUCCCCUUUUUAUAAGGAUACCAGGCAUAUUGGAUUAGGGUUCCUCUCUACUCCAGUAGGACCUCAUCUUCACUAAUUACAUCUGCAAUAACCCUUUCCAAAUAAGGUCACAUUCUGAGGAACUAGAGCAAUCUGAAGAGGAUGUAAGUCAGUUUGAUUCCAAGUUUACACGUCAGACACCUGUCGACAGCCCAGAUGACGCAACUCUCAGUGAAAGUGCCAAUCAGGUCUUUUUGAUGCCACUGCGAGAACGGGAACAAUGGAACAGGCCCUCACCAAAUGCCAAAUGUGCUACCACCUUGAUUUUGGAUUUCCCAGCCUCC
rnacentral:lncRNA from 1 species